GUGGGGAAUCUUCCGCAAUGGACGAAAGUCUGACGGAGCAACGCCGCGUGAGUGAAGAAGGUUUUCGGAUCGUAAAGCUCUUUCGUUAGGGACGAACGUGCUCUUUGUGAAUAAUGAGGAGUAAUGACGGUACCUAAAUAAGAAGCCACGGCUAACUACGUGCCAGCAGCCGCGGUAAUACGUAGGUGGCAAGCGUUGUCCGGAAUUAUUGGGCGUAAAGCGCGCGCAGGCGGGAUAUCAAGUCUGUCUUAAAAGUGCGAGGCUCAACCUCGUGAAGGGACAGAAACUGGUAUUCGUGAGUGUCGGAGAGGAAAGUGGAAUUCCAAGUGUAGCGGUGAAAUGCGUAGAGAUUUGGAAGAACACCAGUGGCGAAGGCGACUUUCUGGACGAUGUCUGACGCUGAGGCGCGAAAGCUAGGGGAGCGAACGGGAUUAGAAACCCGUGUAGUCC
rnacentral:rRNA from 1 species